rnacentral:rRNA from 1 species
UACGUAGGGACCAAGCGUUGUUCGGAUUUACUGGGCGUAAAGGGCGCGUAGGCGGCUUAACAAGUCACUUGUGAAAUCUCCGGGCUUAACUCGGAACGGCCAAGUGAAACUGUCAAGCUAGAGUGCAGAAGGGGCAAUCGGAAUUCUUGGUGUAGCGGUGAAAUGCGUAGAUAUCAAGAGGAACACCUGAGGUGAAGACGGGUUGCUGGGCUGACACUGACGCUGAAGCGCGAAAGCCAGGGGAGCAAACGGG